rnacentral:rRNA from 1 species
UUGGUGCCUUCGGGAACUCUGACACAGGUGCUGCAUGGCUGUCGUCAGCUCGUGCGUGAGAUGUUGGGUUAAGUCCCGUAACGAGCGCAACCCUUGUCCUUAGUUACCAGCACGUUAUGGUGGGCACUCUAAGGAGACUGCCGGUGACAAACCGGAGGAAGGUGGGGAUGACGUCAAGUCAUCAUGGCCCUUACGGCCUGGGCUACACACGUGCUACAAUGGUCGGUACAAAGGGUUGCCAAGCCGCGAGGUGGAGCUAAUCCCAUAAAACCGAUCGUAGUCCGGAUCGCAGUCUGCAACUCGACUGCGUGAAGUCGGAAUCGCUAGUAAUCGUGAAUCAGAAUGUCACGGUGAAUACGUUCCCGGGCCUU